rfam:Hordeum vulgare subsp. vulgare, WGS project CAJW01000000 data, contig: morex_contig_1565811
UUACUACUCCCUCGUCCGGAAUUACUUGUCGCGAAAAUGAAUAGAAAUGAAUGUAUGUAAAACUAAAAUACGUCUAGAUACAUUCAUUUUUUCGAUAAGUAAUUCCGGACGGAGGAAGUACCAU